UAAUACGUAGGGGGCAAGCGUUAUCCGGAAUCACUGGGCGUAAAGGGUGCGUAGGCGGUCUUGCAAGCCAGAGGUGAAAGGCUAUGGCUCAACCAUAGUGAGCCUUUGGAACUGCCGGACUUGAGUACAGGAGAGGAAAGUGGAAUUCCUAGUGUAGCGGUGAAAUGCGUAGAUAUUAGGAGGAACACCAGUGGCGAAGGCGACUUUCUGGACUGUUACUGACGCUGAGGCACGAAAGCGUGGGGAGCGAACAGG
rnacentral:rRNA from 1 species